UUCAUUAUCAAAACUCCAAAACCUUUGACACAUUUUAAAAGAUUAGGAAGAGGACAUACAGUUGCUUACGGCCAUACCUCUCUGGCUCUGCCUGAUCUCGUCUGAUCUCAGAAGCUAAACAGAGUAGGGCCUGGUUAGUACUUGGAUGGAAGACCGCCUGGGAAUCCCAGGUGCCGUAAGCUUUUUCAUUUCUCUCUCUUGAAGAACUUGAGAAGGCACUAGAAAAGUGAAUCCUAUUUCAUUAUCAAAACUCCAAAACCUUUGACACAUUUUAAAAGAUUAGGAAGAGGACAUACAGUUGCUUACGGCCAUACCUCUCUGGCUCCGCCUGAUCUCGUCUGAUCUCAGAAGCUAAGCAGAGUAGGGCCUGGUUAGUACUUGGAUGGAAGACCGCCUGGGAAUCCCAUGUGCCGUAAGCUUUUUCAAUUCGAUCUGUAAAAGACACAGAGAAGGCCUUAGAAAGUGACUCCAUUUAAUUGUCAAAACUACAAAACCUUUGACACAUUUUAAAAGAUUAGGAAGAGGACAUACAGUUGCUUACGGCCAUACCUCUCUGGCUCCGCCUGAUCUCGUCUGAUCUCAGAAGCUAAGCAGAGUAGGGCCUGGUUAGUACUUGGAUGGAAGACCGCCUGGGAAUCCCAGGUGCCGUAAGCUUUUUCAUUUCUCUCUCUGGAAGAAAUCGAGAAGGCAUUAGAAAGUGACUUCUAUUUCAUUAUCAAAACUCCAAAACCUUUGACACAUUUUAAAAGAUUAGGAAGAGGACAUACAGUUGCUUACGGCCAUACCUCUCUGGCUCCGCCUGAUCUCGUCUGAUCUCAGAAGCUAAGCAGAGUAGGGCCUGGUUAGUACUUGGAUGGAAGACCGCCUGGGAAUCCCAGGUGCCGUAAGCUUUUUCAUUUCUAUCUGUAAAAGACACAGAGAAGGCCUUAGAAAGUGACUCCAUUUCAUUGUCAAAACUCCAAAACCUUUGACACAUUUUAAAAGAUUAGGAAGAGGACAUACAGUUGCUUACGGCCAUACCUCUCUGGCUCCGCCUGAUCUCGUCUGAUCUCAGAAGCUAAGCAGAGUAGGGCCUGGUUAGUACUUGGAUGGAAGACCGCCUGGGAAUCCCAGGUGCCGUAAGCUUUUUCAUUUCUCUCUCUGGAAGAAAUUGAGAAGGCAUUAGAAAGUGAAUCCUUUUUCAUUAUCAAAACUCCAAAACCUUUGACACAUUUAAAAGAUUAGGAAGAGGACAUACAGUUGCUUACGGCCAUACCUCUCUGGCUCCGCCUGAUCUCGUCUGAUCUCAGAAGCUAAGCAGAGUAGGGCCUGGUUAGUACUGGAUGGAAGACCGCCUGGGAAUCCCAG
ensembl:lncRNA